GCCCCCUCCACCGUAUGUUUGAACACGCUGAUGUUUGAAUCAUAGAAUUCUUCUUUGAACACCGUUCUGAUGUUUCGUUCCCAACGCUUCAAACCCCUUCUCUAUCUGAAGGGACUCACAACACCACCAUCACUUCAAACCCCGAAACCCAAUUCUCCUUUUCCCUCAACACUCUUUCCGAAACACAUCUCACUCACUUCACAGCAACACUCAUUUGCGGCUUCCUACCUCGUAAACACCUUCGGCCUCUCCCCGGAAACCGCUCUCAAGGUCUCCGAGCGCGUUCGCUUCGACACCCCUCAGAAGCCUGACUCAGUGAUCGCGUUCUUCACAAGCAAUGGAUUCACCGUUCCCCAGAUAAAAAGCAUCGUCAAAAGGGUACCCGACGUGCUCAAUUGCAACCCCCACAAGAGGCUCUGGCCAAAGUUCCAAUUUUUACUCUCAAAAGGUGCUUCUUAUCCCUCUGACAUCGUUCACCUCGUGAAUAGGUGCCCCAGAAUCAUCAAUUCCAGCCUCGAGAAAAACGUGAUCCCCACCUUCGAAUUGGUAAAAAGGUUCCUUCAAUCUGAUAAGAAAACUAUUGAUUGUGUUUUCGCUAAUAGGCAUUUCCUUAAUUACAACACUGCCUCUGAGAAUGUGAAUUUAUUGCUUGAUGUUGGAGUCAAGGACUCCAGCAUCACCUAUUUGUUCCGUAGGAGGGCUUCUAUACUCUUGUCUAAGGACUUGAGGAAGAACAUUGAUGAAGUUAAGGAAUUGGGGUUUGAUCCUUCCAAGAUGAGUUUUGUGAUGGCCUUGCACGCCAAAAUGAGUGUCCCGAAAUCGAGGUGGGAUGCCAAAGUUGAUGCCUGCAAGAGCUGGGGAUGGUCUGAGGAAAUGGUUCUUGAUGCCUUCAGGAAGCAUCCCAUCUUUAUGUUAGGGUCCAAAGAUAAGAUUAAUGAGGUGAUGAGAUUUUGGGUUGAUCAGUUAGGUUGGGACCCUUUGGCCCUCGCCAAAAUGCCGAAGAUUUUUGGAUAUAGUUUGAAGGGAAGGAUCAUUCCGAGGGGUUUGGUUGUCCGAUAUUUGAUCGGGAAAGGUUUGAGAAAGAAGAGUGCCAGCUUGUUAACCCCAUUUUCUGCUUCUGAAAGGUUGUUUCUUGAAAAUUAUGUGAUGCGUUUUAAGGAGGAAACACAUCAACUAUCAAAGGUUUAUGUGGAAAAAUGAGUUUCCAAGAAAACAGGGAGGAUGGUGUAGCAUCUGGCAGUUAGCAAAACGGAAGAGUACAAUUUUUAGAGGUGUAGCUUUGGGGUGAGCCAUGGUGCAACGACAAACUUUUGCCUCGUGACUUGGUGUUCAAGAUUCUAGUUGUAGCAAUAGCCCCUUUGCUUAUGGGAUUAUGGUUUCAUACAUUUUACUCCUUCCAUUCCCUCACAACAGUAGGAGUUUGGUGCAAUAGGUCAUCAUUUACAACGAAUGUGCAAACAUGAGUAGGAACUAGGGAUAAGCCAGUGGGAAAUUGAACGCCUUGUCUUAGAGAUCAAGACCGAUGCCAUGAUCAUAAGAUUUUUGUCUUGUGAAAAGUUUGUGAAUCUUUUUAUGAGGAUUUUUUUCAUCAAUGUAACCUGUUUGAGGAAACAAUGUAUGAAUGUGAAUCUAAAAGAGGCAUGGAACUGGGAGACCAUCGGCUUGUAUUGUUCAUAAACAUUUUCAUUGUUUGAUAAAAAUUUGGUUAGUAACUUCA